GGGGAGAGGACGGUCUGUGUGUUUGGAGAGGGUAUUCUCCUCCAGAAGCUGGCAGAUCGUGGCUUGGACAGAUACAUUCUUGGCUGGUGCCGCCGCCAGGCUCCAGAAGUGGGUGUCAGCCCAUAUGGCGGGAGGUUCCUGCAGCUGCAGGCCCCGAACAGGGUCCAAUAAGGAAUAUUGCUCUUUGGAACCUCUUUGGUGCCCAGGCUUGCUUAUCUUGUCUGCCCUCACCCACCUUUCCUGGGGCUGCCAGGCCUCUGGCUCCAGUCAGAUCUGUCUGCAUUGAGAUGGACAGAGCAGCGCUUCCCCUGUGCCUCCUGCCAGAAGGUGCAGCACUGCUGCCAUGGGCUGCUCUCCACACCCUGGGGGUUACCUGAUGACCCUGUUCCAGAGAUGCUGCCCUCAACAUGGAAGCAGCUGAAGAACAAACCUUUUACCACCUCUUGUCAACAGCUUUGGCUCCAAGGGUCAGACAAGCAAAGGGACCUUCAGACUGAACUUCCUUCUUCACAGUGCUGCCCAGCUCUUUCUUGGCCCUGAAGAAAGCCUCACUGAAGUCACAGAGAAGCAAUAACCUCUUCACUAAAAGCGUAAAGUUAAACCAACCCAGCAUGAACGCUCUCUUGGAAGUGAGAGUAUUUUGGAGGCCAGCUGCUUUUAUUUCCCAAUAUGCCUUGUCUGAGCAAAGAGCCUCUGUAGAGGCAGAGCAGUCCCAGUGCUGAGGCAGGACACAGCUGAAACGUAGACAGCACUGUCCUGCCAGCACGAUCCUGGGGGCAUUGCAGGGCACCAGGGAAGGGGAUGGGGGUGCUUUGCUCCAGGGCCCCUUGUCACUUAGCCCAGGAGGCAUUGGCUUUGGAUGGCAUCAGACAGCUGCUCUGGAUCUUCCCAUGAGAUGGAAGCAGCUAUCCCUGCCCCUGGAUAAGGAGGCUUACACCCAGUGAAAACCCACGUGGAACCCAUAGCAGUAGGGCUGCUGCUCAAUUUCCACCCCUUUCUGCCCCACUCCCCCCAUGGGAAAGCACAACCAUUCCUCCAGUGCCAGGAGAGACCACAGCAUGGAUGUUACCAUUGCACAUGGGCACAUUUUAUUCUCUGAAUGCACCAUUUCUGCUCUACAGCCAAAGCUUUAUUGAUUCAAAACCAGUAGCCUUCUCCCCCCUCCCCCCCCUUACAUUUUUUGCCUGCAUAUCCCCUUUACCACCUCUCACUCACUCUUAGAUUUCCAAUUUGAGUAUUGUACCUGCUUGGAUUUUGUUUUCUCAGAGGAAGCCAACUGACAACUCAUUCUUUUCUUUUUUUUCUUUUUUUUUUUUUUCCCCUCCCAAGAACUAUAUAAAUUACAUGCAAAACAUUGUACAUAGAGAUUAAUAUCAAAAUGCAAUACAGGUCAGGUGCACUUUAAGCUGGACUCUAGGAUAUGGCAAACACACCAGGGUACAUACUGUUUUGAAACCACUUUUUUUUUUUUUUUUUUUUGGUUAAUGUCAUGCAUACCA